ACAUCCACCAUGCUGCUGUCUGUGCUUCUGCUGCUGCUGCUCAGCAGCACACAAGCUACUCACUUUUUGGGCACAGUGAUGACCUACUACCCAAAACAAACCCAUGCAGAUGGAUCCGUGACGGUGUUUGUACGUUACAAGCUAAACUUCCACUCGUGCUCCUACUCUGACACAUGGUAUUGCAGCGGUUCUUGUGGGAGUUCGGCUGUCACACUAGAAGAGGUUGACCUGGAAGCAAGUGGAGAGUGGUGUCAGCAAGAGGGAUUAAUGACUCCGGUUAUUUUUCCAUACUUUUACACCCAGUUUAGGCUGUCGGGUG